CCUACGGGAGGCAGCAGUGGGGAAUAUUGGACAAUGGGCGAAAGCCUGAUCCAGCCAUGCCGCGUGUGUGAAGAAGGCCUUCGGGUUGUAAAGCACUUUCAGUGGGGAAGAAAGCCUUGGGGCUAAUACCCUCGAGGAAGGACAUCACCCACAGAAGAAGCACCGGCUAACUCCGUGCCAGCAGCCGCGGUAAUACGGAGGGUGCGAGCGUUAAUCGGAAUUACUGGGCGUAAAGCGCGCGUAGGCGGUCUGAUAAGCCGGUUGUGAAAGCCCCGGGCUCAACCUGGGAACGGCAUCCGGAACUGUCAGGCUAGAGGGCAGGAGAGGAAGGUAGAAUUCCCGGUGGAGCGGUGAAAUGCGUAGAGAUCGGGAGGAAUACCAGUGGCGAAGGCGGCCUUCUGGACUGACACUGACGCUGAGGUGCGAAAGCGUGGGUAGCAAACAGGAUUAGAUACCCUAGUAGUC
rnacentral:rRNA from 1 species